rnacentral:lncRNA from 1 species
ACCAUUUUCAUAACCUAUCAAGCUGUCAACUAUAAAUCCACAUAAUACCACCUUUCGGCCACCAUGCCCACCGGACUCCACCACCGUAAAUGUGGUUGUUUCGGACAGAUUGAUGACUAAUACUAUGGAGGAGGAUAUUGGAGAGAGUGAGGCGACACUGGUGGUGAUGGAGUCUGAUAGGUGUUGUGGUCGAAAAGUGGUGCUAUAUGGAUCUAUAGGUGGUGGCUUGGUGGGGUUGUGAAAGUGGCGGUAGUGGAGAAUUUAAGAUUUAUCUGUAAUGUUUUGAAAGAUUUAGAACUAUGAUUGCAAUUAAUUAAUUAUUUUUUUCUUUUCUUUUUGUUUUAUUUCAAUAGGAGGGUAAAAUCGUCAUUUUAUUGAAAAAAUGGAUGAAAAUGACCUUUUACGCAAUGAAAGGUGAAAUGAAGGGGUAAAAAUGCUAAAAAUGAAAGGUAGGGACGUUUUGCACAAUAAUAUUGAAAGGUAGGGACCUUUUCUGCUAAUUAUACUAAAAAAUAAAAGGUAGGGACGUUUUGCACAAUAACUUUGAAAGGUAGGGACCUUUUGUGCUAAUUACCUUUUUGAUUUAACGGAGCAUUUUAACGGAGAGUUGACAGAAGGACGUUUUGCACAAAAAAAGGUAAAGGUAAGGGUGUAAUCCGUCAAAAAAUGAAAGGUAGGGACGUUUUCCACAAAAACAUCGAAAGGUAGGGAUGUUUUGUGCUAAUUACCCG